GGAGUCAGCCGGACAAUCGCUGCGGGAAGGGAUUGAUUUUGAUCAGUUCCGGUUUCGGCAGAGGAAAGUCCGGGCUCCGCAGGGCAGGGCGCCAGGUAAUUCCUGGGCGGCGCGAGCCGACGGAAAGUGCAACAGAAAGUAUACCGCCCGGUCAUUUUUACAAUGGCCGGGUAAGGGUGAAAUGGUGCGGUAAGAGCGCACCGCGUGGCUGGAGACAGGCACGGCAUGGUAAACCCCGCCUGGAGCAAGGCCAAAUAAGGGGGCGAUAAUGUGGCCCGCAUUGCCCCCGGGUAGGCCGCAGGAGGUGCAUGGUGACAUGCAUCCCAGAUGAAUGAUUGUCCUCGACAGAACCCGGCUUACAGGCUGACUCCCCCU
rnacentral:RNase_P_RNA from 1 species